rnacentral:rRNA from 1 species
GAUGAACGCUGGCGGCGUGCCUAAUACAUGCAAGUCGAGCGAACGGACGAGAAGCUUGCUUCUCUGAUGUUAGCGGCGGACGGGUGAGUAACACGUGGAUAACCUACCUAUAAGACUGGGAUAACUUCGGGAAACCGGAGCUAAUACCGGAUGAUAUUUUGAACCGCAUGGUUCAAAAGUGAAAGACGGUCUUGCUGUCACUUAUAGAUGGAUCCGCGCUGCAUUAGCUAGUUGGUAAGGUAACGGCUUACCAAGGCAACGAUGCAUAGCCGACCUGAGAGGGUGAUCGGCCACACUGGAACUGAGACACGGUCCAGACUCCUACGGGAGGCAGCAGUAGGGAAUCUUCCGCAAUGGGCGAAAGCCUGACGGAGCAACGCCGCGUGAGUGAUGAAGGUCUUCGGAUCGUAAAACUCUGUUAUUAGGGAAGAACAUAUGUGUAAGUAACUGUGCACAUCUUGGCGGUACCUAAUCAGAAAGCCACGGCUAACUACGUG